rnacentral:rRNA from 1 species
UAGUAACUGCGAGUGAAGCGGGAAAAGCUCAAAUUUAAAAUCUGGUGGCCUCUGGUCGCCCGAGUUGUAAUUUAGAGAAGCGUCUUCCGCGCUGGACCGUGCACAAGUCUCCUGGAAUGGAGCGUCAUAGAGGGUGAGAAUCCCGUCUUUGGCACGGACGCACCAGGGCUUUCGUGAUGCGCUCUCGAAGAGUCGAGUUGUUUGGGAAUGCAGCUCAAAAUGGGUGGUGAACUCCAUCUAAAGCUAAAUAUUGGCGAGAGACCGAUAGCGAACAAGUACCGUGAGGGAAAGAUGAAAAGCACUUUGGAAAGAGAGUGAAACAGUACGUGAAAUUGUUGAAAGGGAAACGCUUGAAGUCAGUCGCGUCGACCGAGACUCAGCCUCGCCUUGGCUUGGCGCGCUUCUCGGCUGACGGGUCAGCGUCGAUUUUGCCCCUCGGAUAAUGGCAAGGGAAAGGUGGCACCUUUACGGGUGUGUUAUAGUCUCCUGUCGCAUGCGAGGGUCGGGAUCGAGGAACUCAGCACGCGCCUCUCGGCG